CAUCCCUAUCACUAUCAAUGGCAGAAUCUAACUAAUUUCAUUUUCAGGUCAUUUUCCAACCUCUUCAAACCAAAUUAACAAUCUUUACACUCAAUCUUCUUCUCCAACUAUUUGUAGAUGAAAUGCCAUAUCUCAUCAAAAUAAUUAAAUAAAUAAAUAAAUUACUCCAUGUUGAUUACACUUUAGUGUUUAUCUUCAAGAACGAAGAAGGCAGAGACCAGUCUUUCACACCAAAACGCGUUCGUUCAAAUUCUCUUUUCCAUUCCGCGUACGUAUCAAAAUCUGAUAAUCAAAACUGGGUCGAUGGAAAGUUUCCAUUUUGUUUCGAAGAGGUGGUACAGUCUUCUUCUGUUCUCCAUUUCGGCUUUCACAAUUCAGCUUCGAUUUUCUCAACUGAUAAUUUUGUGAAUAAAAAUCUAUUCUCUGGUGGGAGAACAUGGAUUCCAUGGAGUCUUGUUCUGAUCAUCUUUAUCCUCUAACAAGUUUACAGAUUGGGGAUAUCAAUACAAAUCUUUCAAGGGAAUUCUUGUAUUUCGCCUCUGUUAGUCAUAAGUUUUUUAUCCUUGUUGAUAAUCAAUCAUGGAGGAAGGCCAAGCAUUCAACAUCAACCCGCCUCAAGGCGUUGGUGACCACCAAAUACAGAACUUCACCAUUUAGAAAUACUAGACCAUUACUAAGGAGCUCAAGUUUCCAUUCAAGCUCUUCUGGCCAUGAAACGAAUCGCUUGUUUAAGUGGUUUCCCACUUUUGACAUUGCUAGUUGGAGAGACAAGACUCCAUUUUCCAUCAAAAAUUUGUAUAAGGAAUUGCAUGGUUUUAUUGUGUUUGAAGUUUCAUGGGAAGAUGUUAGGGGAAUCAAUUAUUUGAAUCAGCUUCAGACAGAUGGAUCCAUGGCUUUCGAAGUAAAAUCGUUGACUAAAUGGGAAUUUAACAGCAUUGAUCAAGCAUUGAGUUGUAUCUCAUCAUGGUUCUCAGGGACUCAACCCGAAACACAGAUAUUGAGGAACAAUCUAAUUCUUUUGCAAGGAAAAUUUCCUCAUCAUUCGACGAAGAAAGUUGCAUCACAGGCUGAUGAGGUCUUUUCUGAAGACAUAUUCUUCGAUGCCAGUGACUCUGCUCUUGAUGAAAACGACACAAUGGAUAUGGAUCAGCAGCAGCUACAAGAACCGAAACCGUCAGGAAACACAGAACAAAAUGGGGAAGUGGAUUGUUAUAGCAAUAGUGGCAGAGAACCAAUGGUAUAUGAGGACAUUCUUUUGCUAUGCAGGUUCAAAAAUAAAGAUCUUCCAUUUAAACUAAAGCAAGUAAUCACCUCAGAUUUGAAGCUUCUUACAUUACUUGAGUCAGGUCUCCCCACUUGGGUUAUCUUUCUUCAGUCAUAUCCACUAUUUUGUGCACUUUAUCGUCCCUGGAUGAGACCUUUGUUUAGAACUAUCUAUAUACUAAUCUCACUUGUAACAGUGAUAAUUGGAUUUUAUGAUCUCUAUAAGAAUGUCCCCCUAUUAAAGGCUACUAUCUCUCACCUUUGUGGUCCUUUUUUCAACUGGAUUGAAUCAUGGGAGAUGCUUUCUAGAGUCAAAUAUCUGGGGACAAUGUUGUUCCUCCAGAAUUUCGAGAAGGCUGUGAAGAUGUUUCUUAUGACAACACGAGGAGUUAAACUGCUAGUUUCGGAAGUCUCAGAUUUUCUGAUGUACCCAAUUGAAGUAAUGGCUGAUUUCUUACUGCCACUAUGGAGAUUUGCAGCUGAUACAACGGAAGCAUUGUACAAUACUGGAUUGGUUACAAUUGAGUUCUUGAAUAGCGAAGUUGGUCUCUUAGUCGAGGAUUUGAUCACACCCUUGGAAGAUCUCUAUUCAUAUGUAUUGAGUUCAGCCACACUAGUUCACCCAAUCUUAAAGUCCUUGUGGGAUUUAUGCCUCUUUUCUAUACAAAGUUUUCUUACAUUGGCAAGUUACUUGGGUGCUCUAUUUUGUGAAAUAUAUGAAGUUAUUGAGAGUUCCUUCAUGGUGGUUGUAAACACCAUGACUCGGCUCAUAAAUCUUGUUCGUAUAAAGCCUCAGCCGUCUGAGUUCUCACUUUGGCAUUCUCUUUGGAAAGAUCUAUUCUCAAAGGUAUUUCGCUCUAUCCGAAGUAUUAUAAGCGUUCUAUCUGCAUUCGUUGCAUCCUGCAAUAGGCAUAGACUAAGCAUCUACAAUUACCUAAGAGUUAUACUUCGAAAGCUUUCCAAUCGCCUUGGUUUUUCCUCCGCUAACUGCUCCUGUUGCCGAUCACCUCAAUCGAACAUUCAUGUUAAGGUUGAACUUGAUGUUAAGGAAUGUAAACAUUGCAAAUGAAUUUUUGUAGAGCAAGACAAGGCUGGCAAGGUCUCCUUUAUAUAUAUAGGGGAAUGUGUUUGGCAUUUUUGAUGUGAUUUAAGUUUGGUUUGGUUGGAUCAAUAGGGUAAAAAUGGGGAUUUUUGCGCAAGUCCCAUAUUGUCCAAAGGCCUUUGUUUUAAGAGAAAUCAUUUAGUUGAAGACUUAAGCCUAUUAAAGAAGCUAAGGAUCAAUGAAAUUGAAACCUGUACAGGUCAGGUACAUCAGAUUAUAGUGUUCUGACUUUGUAUCAGUCAAACCUUUGUUUUUGUUCCUUAUUAUAGCAUAGCUGAUAAUAUAUAAUAUGGGGUUUGUUUUCAGAUAUCCUAGAAAAGGAUAAUAAUAAUGACUUCUCUAAAAGCAUUUCAAGCAACCGUUUUAGAUGCACUCCCAUGAAGAGGACAAGGGAAAAUGAUGUUGAUGAAGCUAUUGUUUCAGCUCCCUACAAGAAAAUCAGAUGAAUUCAACUUUUAUUAUUUUUAAUUUUUCAAACAUUAUUCCUAUUGUAAAUUGUGAGAGUUCCAUACAGAAAAUUUGUAAAAAUUUGUGUAAUGACAUUGUGUACAAGUACUCUGAUCGUGAGUUCUCUAAUGAGUUGAAUGAAGAUUGAAAGUUCUCUUAGA